rnacentral:rRNA from 1 species
UACGGAGGGCGCGAGCGUUAAUCGGAAUUACUAGGCGUAAAGCGCACGUAGGUGGCGACGUAAGUCGGGUGUGAAAGCCGCGGGCUCAACCUGGGAAUUGCAUUCGAGACUGCAUUGCCGGAGUACGGAAGAGGAGAGCGGAAUUCCCGGUGUAGCGGUGAAAUGAGUAGAUAUCGGGAGGAACAUCAGAGGCGAAGGCGGACCUCUGGUCCAGUACUGACACUCAAGUGCGAAAGCGUCGGGAGCAAACAGG